CGUGAACAACCUGCCUUCGAGUUGGGGAGUAGCUUCUGGAAACGGGAGAUAAUACCGAAUAACAUCAUUUCUUCGCAUGUGGGAAUGAUCAAAGCAGCAAUGCGCUUGAAGAGGGGUUCGCGUCCCAUUAGCUAGUUGGUGAGGUAACGGCCCACCAAGGCGAUGAUGGGUAGCUGGUCUGAGAGGACGAUCAGCCACAUUGGGACUGAGAUACUGCCCAGACUCCUACGGGAGGCUGCAGUCGAGAAUUUUGGGCAAUGGACGAAAGUCUGAACCCCCAGCAAUGCCGCGUGCGGGAUGAAGGUCUUCGGAUUGUAAACCGCUGUCAAGAGGGACGAAAUUUGACGGUACCUCUGGAGGAAGCCACGGCUAACUACGUGCCAGCAGCGGC
rnacentral:rRNA from 1 species